AGUUGGAGGACCGACCUUAAGUCGAAGGGGAGCAGAUCCGAUUGUCCCAACAAGAAUAACUAUAACAUUUGAUGUGUUUAGCUUAUAACUAAAAUCGAAAUGGGAUUUAGUUAAUAGGGAGAGUCGGGAUAGAAUUUUGAGAGAUUGAGAUAUUUUCAUUCUCUUCUAGAAUCAAAAUAAAAAUAAAAUUCUUCAAACCAAGUGGCCAUA
rnacentral:lncRNA from 1 species